rnacentral:misc_RNA from 1 species
UUUCCGUAGGUGAACCUGCGGAAGGAUCAUUAUUGAAUGAAACACUUCUGGCUUUAUGCUGUUGUGCUGGCCCUUUGGGCAAUGUGCACACGGCUCUGGUCACUUGUUUCUUCUGUUCCACCUGUGCACUGCCUGUAGACACGCUGUGUCUAUGAUAUUUGUUAACACACAACAAUGUUAGUUGGCAUGUUAUAUAUAAUAAUAAAAUAUACAACUUUCAACAACGGAUCUCUUGGCUCUCGCGUCGAUGAAGAACGCAGC